AUCGUUUUUAUCAGAUUGAUUGCGUGGAUUGAAUUUAUAGGAACCUGUAUCGACUUCUCUGCUCUACUAAGACUUGUUCAAAAC
rfam:Drosophila virilis strain TSC#15010-1051.87 Ctg01_14399, whole genome shotgun sequence.